rnacentral:rRNA from 1 species
GACGAACGCUGGCGGCGUGCCUAAUACAUGCAAGUCGAACGCAGUGGGGACGGGUGAGUAACACGUGGGUAACCUCCCAUCAGAGGGGAUAACACUUGGAAAUAGGUGCUAAACCGAUACUGAUGGAUGGACCCGCGGUGCAUUAGCUAGUUGGGGAGGUAACGGCUCACCAAGGCCACGAUGCGUAGCCGACCGGUGAGGGUGAUCGGCCACACUGGGACGGAGACACGGCCCAGACGACUACGGGAGGCAUCAGUAGGGAAUCUUCGGCAGUGGGCGAAAGUCUGGCCGAACAACGCCGCGUGAGUGAAGAAGGUUUUCGGAUCGGAAAACUGUGUUGUUAGGGAAGCGGUAUCUAACCAGAAAGCAACGGCUAACUACGUGCCAGCAGCCGCGGUAAUAC